CUGAGAAGUGAGAGACUAUAGAGGACCGAGGAAGUCCUCAGAAAACAGAGACUGCAGAAGAACUAUGGUGGCAGAGGGCUGAGAAAGAGCAGCCACCAAAGGACUAUAAACAUCAGUUCAGGUGUUGAGCCCUGCACUCCAGGACCAGUGUCCCCGUCAAUCUGCGAUUGUGAUGCUCCCUGACAUUUUAUUGUGUGCCAAAGGCAACACAAACCAAACUAUCGAGUAUGAAAAACAAGAUUAAGGAAAGAUAAUAUCCUUACCCGGGCUUACCCAGUCA